GAUAGCUUGACCCCAACAAUGCCGUGGACACUCCGAUGGAAUGCCGUUUGACAUGAUCAAAGAUCAAAGACCUAACCAUUAGACAUCUAUGAUGCCUCAGGUCAAAGGACUACUUUGCAUAUUGCAACUUUAGAGUUCAUACAUGACAUGUAUGUUCGAACUCUCUUUUUAUCGUAGUUCAGUGUACUCGAUUACUCUUUCGAGCACCUAUGUAUUUGUCUUAGUGUCCAACACCAAAUGACUUGAGACUAGUCAUACUCACGCUUGAGUCUGAAGGAAAUCUUUUGGGAAAACAUGUUCAUUUGAGCAACAUCAUAUAGCAUGCAAUUAACAAUUAAA
rnacentral:lncRNA from 1 species